UACGAAGGGGGCGAGCGUUGUUCGGAUUUACUGGGCGUAAAGGGCGCGCAGGCGGCCAUGUUUGUCAGGCGUGAAAGCCCCGGGCUUAACCUGGGAACCGCGCUUGAGACGGGAUGGCUAGAGAUCGGGAGAGGAGAGUGGAAUUCCCAGUGUAGAGGUGAAAUUCGUAGAUAUUGGGAAGAACACCGGUGGCGAAGGCGGCUCUCUGGACCGAUACUGACGCUGAGGCGCGAAAGCGUGGGGAGCAAACAG
rnacentral:rRNA from 1 species